rnacentral:sRNA from 1 species
GCCACACUCUCUUCAGCCCGUUCUCGAUGCGUUUCUGCCAUUUCUGCACGAUGCUGCCACUGUUCCUGUAAUCUACGCCUACUGAUUUCCUGUGGUUGUAUUUCGCCCCUCGAGAUGUUGGCGGACUGGAACGGCUGCUGUUUAUGUAGCGCAGUCGACGGGGAGUGAUGUUGGGCGAUUCAAUGGUGAUUUUCAGGCCUUGCUUGCGCGAUGGAGAGUUUAAUGGGGAAGGACUGGGGGAGCAUGGGCCUUGGGAGUACGAAGAUUUUGGGGAGUUUAAGAAAGCAGAAAGCUCUGCUCUUUGGCUUUCGACGAUAUCUUCCGAGACCGCCAAUUGCGUCUUUCAGAGACACUCAUCAUCAGCCUUUAUCCCCCCCGUUGUACCACCCUUUGGAAUAAAAAGACAAGUUACUCACUUUGAGUCUUGCGUUCUCCCGCCUCAAAACAACCAUUUCCUUCGCGACGCCAUGAUCAACGUUUGACCAGUGACCCCCCGGGAUCAAUGCCUCUAAAAACGUCUUUUCACCUUUUAGAUCAUCGGCUGUAAGGAACCCUCGCUGAAACGCCCGUGCAAAGAGGGCCUUGUACAUCAAGCUUUCCUCCAUCGUCAAAACGUCCCCAGGGGCGCCACCAUUAAGGCCGUCGCCUGUACUUGAAAUCUUAGCCAUGCUAUGAACUGUAUGGCUGUGGAGAUGAUGAUCCAUCGGGGUGAGAAGUAUCUCCGCCGCAGACGAUUCAGACAUGGAAGGUGAUAUCACCGGUGGAAAGAAUGGAUGGCAUCCUCGUCUCCGCAUUGGUAUUAGUAGAGGUUCUGGCGGCGAUGGUUGUGGGUACAUUUGAAGCCUGGGCCAAAACUUCAUCAUCGGUUCAAAGUUGCACGAGAGCCUCUCCCCAUAACUCAUUUCGCUUUCUAGCGAUAAGAAAUGUCCUCCCGAAGAAGGAUAAGGAGAAGAAUGAGAAGGAAGGGGAUUACCGAUCACGGCACAGGAGCUGAUAGCUGAAAGUGCUGGAGAAGCAGGUUCGGUGCGGCCAAUAGAGGCGUCGUACCAUGGUGUAAUAGUAUUUGAAUGGGUGCAAGGAACUAUAGUUUGAGAGCUGUCCUUCUUGCUACCAAUGCUAGUUGACUGCAAAGAGUUGGUGAAGGAAGAUGGAAUCCCCUGGGCAGCGAAGUGGGGAUAUGAGUUUCCGCCGUACUCCUGGUCAUCAACCAUCUCCACAGAAAUUACAGGCAUCCCUUGCCUAUGUUGCGAAUCAGGUAUCGCACUUUUCGACGCCUGGCGCAUAUUCUCCAUCGGAGUCAAUACUUCUCGGGCAAUACCCGCCGUCUCGAUACCAAGCCCACCAGAAAUGGACAGACCCCGAUGGGCAGAGUACUGAGUCGGAAGAAG